rnacentral:rRNA from 1 species
AACGAACGCUGGCGGCAUGCCUAACACAUGCAUGUCGAACGAGACCUUCGGGUCUAGUGGCGCACGGGUGCGUAACGCGUGGGAACCUGCCCUUAGGUUCGGAAUAACUCCCCGAAAGGGGUGCUAAUACCGGAUAAUGUCUUCGGACCAAAGAUUUAUCGCCUUUGGAUGGGCCCGCGUUGGAUUAGCUAGUUGGUAGGGUAAAAGCAUACCAAGGCGACGAUCCAUAGCUGGUCUGAGAGGAUGAUCAGCCACACUGGGACUGAGACACGGCCCAGACUCCUACGGGAGGCAGCAGUGGGGAAUAUUGGACAAUGAGCGAAAGCCUGAUACAGCAAUGCGGCGUGAGUGAUGAAGGCCUUAGGGUUGUAAAGCUCUUUUACCCGGGAUGAUAAUGACAGUACCGGGAGAAUAAGCUCCGGCUAACUACGUG